GUAGGUGGCAAGCGUUGCCCGGAAUUAUUGGGCGUAAAGCGCGCGCAGGCGGUCCUUUAAGUCUGAUGUGAAAGCCCACGGCUCAACCGUGGAGGGUCAUUGGAAACUGGGGGACUUGAGUACAGAAGAGGAAAGCGGAAUUCCAAGUGUAGCGGUGAAAUGCGUAGAGAUUUGGAGGAACACCAGUGGCGAAGGCGGCUUUCUGGUCUGUAACUGACGCUGAGGCGCGAAAGCGUGGGGAGCAAACAGGAUUAGAUACCCUGGUAGUCCACGCCGUAAACGAUGAGUGCUAAGUGUUAGGGGGUUUCCCGCCCCCCUUAGUGCUGCAGCUAACGCAUUAAGCACUCCGCCUGGGGAGUACGGCCGCAAGGCUG
rnacentral:rRNA from 1 species